ACGGCACUCCCGAACGCUCACUGAAUUAAAUAGGUAAUUCAACAAGAGAGAAGAAUUAAUGUAGUCCUAUAAAAAUAAAAUAACACCAAAAAACCUAAUAUAUAGACUUUUUACCUUCGCAAGUCAACUUCCCCAAGUACUACAGAAUCUCCACCAGCUGUACCACUGUUAACCGUUACUCCUCAUAUAACCUUUCCUUAAACUCCACAAAAAAAAAAAAAAUCCUUUCAAAAUCUUGCACGCUCUUUUCCACCCAUGAAAACAAACAAGAAAACCACUAUGCAAGCGCCGCCCAUUAGCAACCCCUUAGGUUUUCUCACUGAAGAAAUCAUCUUAACAAUCCUUGACUAUCUUAACAAUGACCCUUUUGCUAAAAAGUCUUUUUCUUUAACUUGCAAAGCUUUUUACUCCAUUGAAGCUCACCAUAGGAAGACUCUUAAGCCGCUUAGAGCUGAGCUUUUAUCAAGAGCCCUUCAUAGAUACCCUCAUAUUGAACAUCUUGAUCUAACUCUUUGUCCUCGCAUUGAAGACAGCAUGUUGAAUGUACGUUGUUUCUUUGUCAUGUAAGGAUGUUUUGUGUUCUAUAAACCUGUCAAGGUCAAGGUUUUUGACUAAUAUUGGGUUGGUGAGUUUGGUUUCAAGGUGUUUCAAUUUGGUUGAGACUGCUUUGUCUAAUGGGGUAGAGUACUUGAAUGAUUUGGCUACUGCUGCAAUUGCUGAGGCUAAGAAUUUGGAGAAGUUGUGGUUGGCUAGGUGUAAGCUGAUUACUGAUAUGGGGAUUGGUUGUAUUGCUGUUGGGUAUAGAAAGUUGAGGUUGGUUUCUUGAAAUGGUGUUUGAAGGUUAGUGAUCUUGGUGUGGAAUUGCUUGCUUCGAAAUGUAAGGAUAUUAGGAGCUUGGAUCUCUCUUACUUACAGUUUGGCUUUUUGAUGAUUUGAACCCUGCUGCUGUUUCCCGACGCAUUGUUUCUGUUUAGAGCACUAAUCAAGUCUAUGAUUGGGAAAAUUCUAAUCCCAGUGGGACAAUAUUUGAUGGUAUGUUUUAUGGUGGAUAAUACCUUCUAGAGAGGUUUAAUGUUUGUUGACUAAAACUUGGUCAAAAAAGUUGCACGCGAUAUAAAAAGUCCAUGCAAAUGUAGCUACAAAGUGAGAAUCUUUUGAUUACAGAGAAAUGUCUUCCAUCUAUUUUGCAAUUGCAGCAUCUUGAAGAUUUAGUCCUUGAGGGAUGCCUUGGUAUUGAUGAUGAUGGCCUCUCAACUCUUCAACAGAGUUGCAAGUCACUCAAGGUUACUGCAGAUCUAGCAAAAUGUUUGCAGAACUUUUCGGUGCUGAAAUCAGUUAAGCUGGAUGGCUGUGUGGUUAAAUGUUCUGGCAUCAGAGCCAUUUGGAAGUUGGCCUAACUCGGUCUAGGAAUUGAGCUUCAGUAAGUGCUCAGGAGUGGAUGUCCUGAACUGGAAGUCAUUAACAUAGCUUAUAAUGAUAAAUUUACUGAGGCUUCAUCAAUAUCAUUAUCAUGAUGUUCAAGGUGAAAAGUACUUGAGAUAAGAGGAUGUCCUCAUGUCUCAUCAAAAGGUAUAUCAGCUAUUGCUGUUGGAUGUAGGCAACUUGUGGUGUUGGACAUUAAGAAGUGCUUCGAUAUCAAUAAUAAUGCAAUGCACCCAGUUGCUCAGUGUUCCCAAAACCUCAAACAGAUAAACUUGUCGUACUGUUCAGUAACAGAUGUUGGCUUUUCGGUAUUAGCCAGCAUCAAUCGCCUGCAGAACAUGACUAUGCUACACUUGAGAGGCUUAACUCCAAAUGGCUUAGCAGCUGCUCUCUUAGCUUGCAGAGGGAUAACCAAGGUGAAGCUACAUGCUACCUUCAAACCAUUGCUUCCCAAAUCCCUUCUUGAUUACAUCAAAGCCCGCGGCUGUAAAUUUCUUUGGAGAGAUAAGGCAUUCCAGGUGGAAAUGGAUCCAAAGGGAUGGAAGUUACAUUUUGGGCAAAGUCUUGAAUCUCCAUAGACUGUGAAGGAGAAUAUACAUCCUUUUUAAGUGAAUGGAAAAGGUCUUUUCAUCAACUUGUGCCUGUGCUUUUACACCCUCUUUCUAUUCUAUUGAAUGAACGGAUUCUUAAAGAGAAAGGGAUCACAUGUUUUUCCUUUUCCUUUUCCUUUUAGGUAGGAAAGGUGGGAGGUGUGAAAAGAAAAGGGUGGCUUCAAAUUAUUGCAGUAUUUACUGCUCUUCAUUUAGCCCAAUUUUGUAGCUUUUUGGCCAUGCAAGAAGAUAGAAUCAAGCUUUGCUUCUUCUUUUGUUUUUUUAUAUAAGCUGGUUAAGGCUCCGUUUGUUUA